rnacentral:rRNA from 1 species
UACGUAGGGGGCAAGCGUUGUCCGGAAUCAUUGGGCGUAAAGCGCGUGUAGGCGGCCCGUUAAUUCGGCGGUGAAAGUCCAGGGCUCAACCCUGGAAUGCCGGUGGAUACUGUCGGGCUCGAGUCCGGAAGAGGCGAGUGGAAUUCCUGGUGUAGCGGUGAAAUGCGCAGAUAUCAGGAGGAACACCGAUGGCGAAGGCAGCUCGCUGGGACGGUACUGACGCUGAGACGCGAAAGCGUGGGGAGCAAACAGG